rnacentral:rRNA from 1 species
GAAGGCCUCUGGGCUGUAAACCUCUUUUCUCAAGGAAGAAGAUCUGACGGUACUUGAGGAAUAAGCCACGGCUGAUUCCGUGCCAGCAGCCGCGGUAAUACGGGAGUGGCAAGCGUUAUCCGGAAUUAUUGGGCGUAAAGCGUCCGCAGGCGGCCCUUCAAGUCUGCUGUUAAAACGUGGAGCUUAACUCCAUCAUGGCAGUGGAAACUGUUGGGCUUGAGUGUGGUAGGGGCAGAGGGAAUUCCCGGUGUAGCGGUGAAAUGCGUAGAUAUCGGGAAGAACACCAGUGGCGAAGGCGCUCUGCUGGGCCAUAACUGACGCUCAUGGACGAAAGCCAGGGGAGCGAAAGGGAUUAGAUACCCCUGCAGUCCUGGCCGUAAACGAUGAACACUAGGUGUCGGGGGAAUCGACCCCCUCGGUGUCGUAGCCAACGCGUUAAGUGUUCCGCCUGGGGAGUACGCACGCAAGUGUGAAACUCAAAGGAAUUGACGG